rnacentral:rRNA from 1 species
AGCGAACGCUGGCGGCAGGCCUAACACAUGCAAGUCGAGCGCUCGUAGCAAUACGAGAGCGGCAGACGGGAGAGUAACACGUGGGAACGUACCCUUUGGUUCGGAACAACCCAGGGAAACUUGGGCUAAUACCGGAUAAGCCCUUACGGGGAAAGAUUUAUCGCCGAAGGAUCGGCCCGCGUCUGAUUAGCUAGUUGGUGGGGUAACGGCCCACCAAGGCGACGAUCAGUAGCUGGUCUGAGAGGAUGAUCAGCCUCACUGGGACUGAGACACGGCCCAGACUCCUACGGGAGGCAGCAGUGGGGGAUAUUGGACAAUGGGCGCAAGCCUGAUCCAGCCAUGCCGCGUGGGUGAUGAAGGCCCUAGGGUUGUAAAGCCCUUUCGGCGGGGAAGAUAAUGACGGUACCCGCAGAAGAAGCCCCGGCUAACUUCGUGACAGCCGCCGCC